rnacentral:rRNA from 1 species
UACGGGGGGGGCAAGCGUUGUUCGGAAUUACUGGGCGUAAAGGGCUCGUAGGCGGCCAACUAAGUCAUACGUGAAAUCCCUCGGCUUAACCGGGGAACUGCGUCUGAUACUGGAUGGCUUGAGUUCGGGAGAGGGAUGCGGAAUUCCAGGUGUAGCGGUGAAAUGCGUAGAUAUCUGGAGGAACACCGGUGGCGAAGGCGACUUUCUGGCCUGUUCUUGACGCUGAGGCGCGAAAGCUAGGGGAGCAAACGGG